rnacentral:misc_RNA from 1 species
UAACCAACCAUUAGGCCAAAAUGAAACUGCAUUAAUAGCACUCUUAAAACACCACCUACUGGGCAAGAUAAAUGGCUGACAAUGUCAACAUCUAGCAUAAAAUGUACAAAAACAAGUUUAUUUAGGUUCAUUCGACCAUAUUAGAAAGUAAAAGCUCUCACCAAGAGGGUAUCGCUCAUACUCAUAAUAUUUUUUUCAUACCUUUACUAAACACAUACAUUCAACACUCUGCCAUAGGAAAUACAGAUCCAAUCCGAUCUCCAAAGCGAUAGCACUUGAUAUUAACAGGGUAUGGACCCAAUUCUACAUGGUUAUCCUCUCCACCCAAAUAGAAACAGAGAGUAUACAAUGCAACUUCAAACUCCGGGCUCACACCAACUAAAAUGCUUGAUACAGAUUUGAGAACUCCAUUCCAUUCAAACUGAGCUGUAAGUAACUGGGUAUCAGAGUCCGGAAUCUGCCCACGUCGCCGAGGGAAAAUAUAACCUUGAUAAUCAACCCUUCCUUUUGCUUCUUCUAGAUAAAACUGAAGCCAGUUAUGGAAACCAGAAACUUCUUGUUCCCCACGAUGCUUAACUUCUCCAACAAAAACGUGUUCAAAAGCAGAAGAGGAACCAUAAGUACCACCUCGACCAUAGAGUUCAAACCAGAGACUUGUCAAUAUUCUUUUAAAAUCAUGAUAAUCAUCAGAUACAAUGCCUUUAAAUGCAAGAAGCUUAUGAAGGUAUUUAAUGGGUGCAGUUCUGCUGAUUUCUUCUAUAAAAGCAGCUUGCUCUUGCUUCUCUUCAGCAGUGACAACUUCUUUGCACCCUUGAUUUGGGU